GUGACAAACUCUACAAAUGCAAAUCCUCUAUGGUUCCCAAACCUCAUUGGCAGCCUUAAACUCUUAAUCUGCCCGAAUGGACUGAAUAAUUGCCUGAGAUCCUUUUCAGUUGCCUCAAAAGCAACAUUCCUAACAAGCAACUUAGUUGAACUCUUGUCAUUCUCAGCUCUCUUUGGUAAAUGGUCCUUCUUAGUGUGACAAAGUUGCAAUAUAAGUGCAUGGCCAUCCAAAACAGUUCCCUGCAAAUCCUUGCAAACGUUGAUUGCUGUAUCAACAGAAUCAAACUCAACGAAUCCAAAACCCAUAGAGACAUUUUUUCCAUUCUUUACAUGCUUCUUCACCCUCACACUUAAUAUUCGUCCAUCCUUAUGUGAUCGGUGAAAUGCUUUUUUAAGCUCUCAUCCAACGUCUUGAAAUUUAGGUUCUUGACAUACAGUGAUCGUGACUCAACUCUAUCAGGAUCAACAUCUGG
rnacentral:misc_RNA from 1 species